CUGAGCUGUGAUGAUCGUAGAUACCGCCCCAGGCUGAUAUCUGUGCUGACUGGUACUCCUCUGAGCUCUG